rnacentral:piRNA from 1 species
UAGGAUUAAAAAACUUCCCAAGGGCA